AUUGAACGCUGGCGGAAUGCUUUACACAUGCAAGUCGAGCGGCAGCGCGGGGGCAACCCUGGCGGCGAGCGGCGAACGGGUGAGUAACACAUCGGAACGUACCCAGUGGUGGGGGAUAGCCCGGCGAAAGCCGGAUUAAUACCGCAUACGACCUGAGGGGGAAAGUGGGGGACCGCAAGGCCUCACGCCGUUGGAGCGGCCGAUGUUCGAUUAGCUAGUUGGUAGGGUAAAGGCCUACCAAGGCGACGAUCGAUAGCUGGUCUGAGAGGACGACCAGCCACACUGGAACUGAGACACGGUCCAGACUCCUACGGGAGGCAGCAGUGGGGAAUUUUGGACAAUGGGGGCGAACCCUGAUCCAGCCAUUCCGCGUGAGUGAAGAAGGCC
rnacentral:rRNA from 1 species